rnacentral:rRNA from 1 species
GACUCUCGGCAACGGAUAUCUCGGCUCUCGCAUCGAUGAAGAACGUAGCGAAAUGCGAUACCUGGUGUGAAUUGAAGAAUCCCGCGAACCAUCGAGUCUUUGAACGCAAGUUGCGCCCGAGGCCACUCGGCCGAGGGCACGCCUGCCUGGGCGUCA